GUCUUCUUCGGAGACAUCCGAUAAAAUUGGAACGAUAUAAAGAAGAUUAGCAUGGCCCCUGCGCAAGAAUUACACGCGCAAAUCGAAAAAUGGUUCAAAUUGAU